UCCUACGGGUGGCUGCAGUGGGGAAUCUUCCGCAAUGGGCGAAAGCCUGACGGAGCAACGCCGCGUGAGCGAAGAAGGUCUUCGGAUUGUAAAGCUCUGUGAUAUUGGACGAACAGAUUUCUUGUAAAUAGCAAGGAAAAAUGACGGUACAAUAAGAGGAAGCCACGGCUAACUACGUGCCAGCAGCCGCGGUAAUACGUAGGUGGCAAACGUUGUCCGGAAUUACUGGGCGUAAAGGGCGAGUAGGUGGUUGAUUAAGUCAGAAGUGAAAACUCCGGGCUCAACCUGGAGACUGCUUCUGAAACUGGUAGACUUGAGUGCAGGAGAGGGAAGUGGAAUUCCUAGUGUAGCGGUGAAAUGCGUAGAUAUUAGGAGGAACACCAGUGGCGAAGGCGACUUCCUGGCCUGUAACUGACACUGAGGCGCGAAAGCGUGGGGAUCAAACAGGAUUAGAUACCCCAGUAGUC
rnacentral:rRNA from 1 species